rnacentral:tRNA from 1 species
AGCCCCGUAAUGUCAGCACACGGGAUCAUAAGUUUCAUGGAGCAAGACAGGUUUUGCCGGGGCUU